AUCGCUUCUUGGCUCGGCUAAGAGCACAUGUAGUGUCCGUUCUUAUCAGUUUAAUAUCUGAUGCGUCCUCUAUCCAAAUGCCCUCUUCACAAGGCUGAAGUCCUGGCUGCUUUCAUCAACUUCAUCAUCUUGCCUUCUUCAUGUGGAUUUUGCUCUUCAAGUCACAGAGAAAUUGGAUGUAACUUUA